AGAAAACCAUUUGAGAAAAAGGGAAACACAUGAAUUCAGCAAAGAAGAGAAAAGGUAAUCGAAUGUUGAGAAAACAAGAGCCAAAACUUGAAAAUGUUGAAAGGGAGAGAAAAUACAGCAAUCGACCAGAAGGGAAAAAUUGAUUGGAAAGGGGAAUUAAACAAAAAUAUUUAGUCAAGCAGAAAACAAACAAAAGGGGAAAAAAUAAUAGCGAAAGGGUCAAUAGCCUAUUCGGCCUCCCAAAACCAAAAACCAGAGAAAAGUAACAAAAAAUAUGACCAAAAACAAGUUCCUUCGCACAAACAAACCCAAUUCCAAAAGAAAAACACCCCGAAAACUAAAUUCAAGUAUGCCUAAAGUCCCUAUACGACACAACUCUCCCUUUUCCUCACAUAGCCUUGAUUUCCUCCUGCAAUUUCCCCACAACAACAGCCAACCAACCCUUACCCAAAUCCC
rnacentral:lncRNA from 1 species